GUUGCGGACGACGUCUCCACGCCGCCCUCCUCACCGCGACUCUCCAUGGUGCUUCCGUGGAACCUGAGCGCAUCUCGCCCAUAUGGCUCUCUCUGCUCUUAGGGAGCACAAACUAAGGAGUCGAGAGCUUCUAGCGUCGGGCCUAGGCUUCACUGCACAACCUGAUUGUGUAAAUUCAUUUGGCUUUCUCUUCUCAUGGAUAUUGACGAACCAAGAACUCCACGUAUACUGGCACCGCCGCUACCGAAUACUGGCAGCGGAGGCAGCGCAAUAGCCGCGGGAUCGGGUGGUGCUCAAGCCACCUUCCUCCGGCGCAGGACCAAUAGGUGUUUUUCUCUUCGUCGCCUGAUCGUCCCCAAUUAUCAUCCGUGCUCUUGAGCUACUUGAAGUUUCCAUGGGAUGAUCUGGUUCAUGUGAUAGUGGUUUCAAUACUGCCAUCAAGAUUGGUGGUGAUCCGAGCGUUUUGAGGUAAGCACCUGCCGUCCUGCGUAUUGUGUAUUGCUCCGUGCAUGUAGUUCUGAAAAAAAAGAGUAUGCAUUCCAGCCUUCAGAAAGACAGUGUUCAAGUGUACUUCAGAUAUUAUGUAAUUUUCUAGAGGAAUGAUACGUCACUAAUUAUUUCUGAUUGCUAUGAGUAGUGGAUAAAGCAAUCUUUUUGGUUUAGAUGCAGUUCUGGUAAUUAUUGCUAAGAUGACAUGAAUGGAUGUGGUGCAUGGUUGAAUAACUAUGCACCUUGAAUAUAUGACUGGUGGUGAUACCACUCUUGUUUG